GAAUCGAUAGCCCACAUACCUCAAGGGAAGUGCGGUGAAACGCCGCCACUGGUCCGCAACUGUAAUCGGGGACGAAAUCUGCAGACAGCCACUGUCCUUCGGGACGGGAAGGCGCAGAGAGUAGAGCGAGCCGAAAGUCAGGAGACCUGGGUAUUGGGAACUUCCAUGC
rnacentral:ncRNA from 18 species